rnacentral:rRNA from 1 species
GUCGCAAGAUUAAAACUCAAAGGAAUUGACGGGGACCCGCACAAGCGGUGGAUGAUGUGGAUUAAUUCGAUGCAACGCGAAAAACCUUACCUACCCUUGACAUGUCCGGAAUCCUGAAGAGAUUUGGGAGUGCUCGCAAGAGAGCCGGAACACAGGUGCUGCAUGGCUGUCGUCAGCUCGUGUCGUGAGAUGUUGGGUUAAGUCCCGCAACGAGCGCAACCCUUAUCCUUAGUUACCAUCAUUCAGUUGGGCACUCUAAUGAGACUGCCGGUGACAAACCGGAGGAAGGUGGGGAUGACGUCAAGUCCUCAUGGCCCUUAUGGGUAGGGCUUCACACGUCAUACAAUGGUCGGUACAGAGGGUUGCCAACCCGCGAGGGGGAGCUAAUCUCACAAAGCCGAUCGUAGUCCGGAUCGCAGUCUGCAACUCGACUGCGUGAAGUCGGAAUCGCUAGUAAUCGUGGAUCAGCAUGUCACGGUGAAUACGUUCCCGGGUCUUGUACACACCGCCCGUCACACCAUGGGAGUGGGUUUCACCAGAAGUAGGUAGUCUAACCGCAAGG